rnacentral:rRNA from 1 species
AGGCAGCAGUGGGGAAUAUUGCAGCAUGGGCGCAGCCUGAUGCAGCGACGCCGCGUGAGGGAUGACGGCCUUCGGGUUGUAAACCUCUUUCAGUAGGGAAGAAGCGAAAGUGACGGUACCUGCAGAAGAAGCGCCGGCUAACUACGUGCCAGCAGCCGCGGUAAUACGUAGGGCGCAAGCGUUAUCCGGAAUUAUUGGGCGUAAAGAGCUCGUAGGCGGUUUGUCGCGUCUGCCGUGAAAGUCCGGGG